GUAGCUGAACAUCUUACGGAUGGCCCAGGGCUCCAAAGGCUCGUUUCCUAAGUGAGAGAGAGCCUGGCUGAAGCUGUAUUACCAUUCAUUCUCCAGCCUCCGAAGUCUCAAAGCAUCACUUCCACCAUACUCUAACUGUCAAGACAAACACAAAGGCCCAGAAACUGCCAGACUGUCUUCUGAAGUGGCUAUAAUAUUUACACUCCCAUCAGCAGUGUAGAAGGGGUCUCACUAUGUUGUCUGGAGUGCUGUGGUGGAGUGGAGUGGCUAUUCACAGAGCCUGUUCUGCUGGGACACAGAAUCACUUGCUCCAUCUCAUACAUUGAUGAUGAUUAAUUUGUAUGUGUACCUUCCAAAAAAGAUGGUUGUGUUUGAAUGGAGGCCUUCUGGACAGGAAAAUUGCAAAGUACAAUUAACAUUUGAGUCUGUCUGAGUCAUGAAGAAAUGGAGAUUACUGAAAAUAAUUCAUUUUGGUAUCUUCUUACAUCCUGAGAGACUAAUCUUUCCAAGUUCAUCUGAGGCUCCUCUUCUCCAUGACAACCUCAUCCAGGGAUUUCUUCCUGUCCUGGUGUUUUAUGACAUGUGGAAGGGGACUGUAGCAGGUGAUCUCCAAAGUCUCUGGAGACUUACUAAUGUGCAUCCUCAUCUCGCUUGUAAGGAUAAUAGCCUUCCUCCAAACCUCACACACUUUUGGAGGAGAUCACUUUUUUUAAAGUGCAUGGAAAUGUUUUGAAACAGUGAAAUCUAUAAUGAUAGGUUUCAUAAUUCUAACAUCCACACCAUAUGAAUCACAUCCUUCCUGAGAUAAUGAGCACACAAUUGCCUGGAUACCUGAAGGAAUGGAGACAGCGGCAGAAAACACUGCAGAGAGGUGGAAACAUCCGUUAAUAUUUUAAAAUCCCAUUACUGCUACCAACAAUAAUAAUGGAUGCAUAGAAAUAGAUCUGGAUUAGCUGAGCUUGAAACAGUCCAUCUCACACACACACAAAAGAAUUUCAGAUACAGUGAACCCACAUGUUGAAGCUUUCUAGUAUAAUAAAAAUUUCAACUGUUCUGUUGAAUCAUCUGCCUGAUUGGAGGCUACAGAAAAGAUGUCAUCUUAGGAGUGCUUGCUCUGAGUGAGGCUCAUCUUCAAAUCUGAAUGACCACAAGGAGAUUUGAUUAUACAUGUGAACACCUCAGAAGGCACAGCCCACCCAGAAGGCAGACAGAAGAAGCUGCCAGGAAGACUGUGAAAUCUUCAUGCCCAAGGAUCCCUAAAAUUAGGAGCAACAACCACUUGGCUCAGACGGUUUAUGGAGGCAAAGGUUUGGAUGGGAUUAGAGAUUUCUAAAUGAGGAGACAGACACUAGAGCUCACCGGCUCGCCCUCUCACUCCUACUCAUCUGAGAAGGCAGCCAGCUAACCCUUCAGCCAGGAAGAGGGUCCUCAUCAGAACCUGGCCGUGGUGGCAUCCAGAUCUUGAACCUCCGGACUCCAGACUGUGAGAAAAUAAGUGUGUUGUUUAAACUA
rnacentral:lncRNA from 1 species